UUUGUGUCUCUGGAGCAGCUCAGAGAGGCUGGAGCAUAUCAAUGACCUGGCCAUCAGUCUGCAGAGAUGAUUACAGAAGUUUUUUCAGCAUCAACAACAGCCUGGCUGGUGUUCCACAAUUGCAGCUGUGUGGAUGGACAAGGGCUCGGGCUUGGCAAUUCCUCUGCAGUUUUGGGACAAUGCCAAAGAGAAAGCUGUACCAAAGCCUUUCCCUAUUUUUUAGCAUUACAGACUGCGUGUGCAUUUCUUUUAGCCUUAGGAGGCACUCCUACAUACAUGAUUAUGUUUAGAUCUGUUUCACCAGACCUGAAAUCCUUUGCUGUUGGGAUAGAAACUUUGGGUGGUAGAGUACUAGGUAAAGCUUAAUUCCUUUGUGAUUUUCAAGUGGGUAGUCAGAGAAGCCGGAGAGGUAGACCAGAGUUAGC